rnacentral:rRNA from 1 species
CCUACGGGAGGCAGCAGUGAGGAAUAUUGGUCAAUGGACGAGAGUCUGAACCAGCCAAGUAGCGUGAAGGAUGACUGCCCUAUGGGUUGUAAACUUCUUUUAUAUGGGAAUAAAACGUUCCACGUGUGGGAUUUUGUAUGUACCAUAUGAAUAAGGAUCGGCUAACUCCGUGCCAGCAGCCGCGGUAAUACGGAGGAUCCGGGCGUUAUCCGGAUUUAUUGGGUUUAAAGGGAGCGUAGGUGGAUUGUUAAGUCAGUUGUGAAAGUUUGCGGCUCAACCGUAAAAUUGCAGUUGAAACUGGCAGUCUUGAGUACAGUAGAGGUGUGCGGAAUGCGUGGUGUAGCGGUGAAAUGCUUAGAUAUCACGAAGAACUCCGAUUGCGAAGGCAGUUCACUGGACUGCAACUGACACUGAGGCUCGAAAGUGUGGGUAUCAAACAGGAUUAGAUACCCCAGUAGUC